CUCUCCCUCCGGAAACGCAUUCCUCUCCCGCCGCGUCAGCCCGGCCCGGGGCUAGGAGGAGGCGGAGGAUGGGGCAGGAAGUGCGACCGGGACAAAGGAACCGGCUGCGCGGGAGCGCGCCUGAGGGAGGCCGCGGGGGGCAGGGCCGGGACUGCGUUGAGACAGUCGCCGUGCCUCAGUUUCCUCCUCUGCGAAGGGCGGGAGGAGUCGGACGCGCCCUAGAGCCCCGCGCGUUCCUGGUGUAGCCUGCUGGGCCCGUGUUCUUUAAGUUCCUCUUCCUCGGAGCCGCGCGUUCGACCCUCGCUCCCGUUUGUCCACUGAUGUCCCGUUUCGAGCCCGGGAGAUCCUGCAUCUCGGAAGCCCCCUGAGUCCCGAGGCAAAUCGGGACCGUGAGCCCCCCUACCCUGCAGGGCUCCAUGGGGCCAAAAACCACGUGGUCCUUCUGGAAGGGAACUGGCUAAGCCAGGACUGCUUUUCUGGAGUGAUAAUGUGCUUGCCUGUGUCUAAGAGAAAGGUGAAGAAUUGGGAAACCCAUGGGUGUCACGAAGGGUGGUGAGACUGGGGAACGUUUUAGAAAACCUGUACCCUGGCUGAUAAAUGGGACUUGGAUUUUAAAUACCAUUGGAUAAUAAAUGUAUGUGAUGGCUUUGGAGCAAAUUGAUUGACAAUGGCUAGGAGACAGCUUCCCAAGGCUGGAAAGAGGGGAGUGCGGAACAUGCCUCCACCAUACCACUGCCCACCUCCUGUGACCUCUGCAGCAAAACCUGAAGCCCCAAAGAGGCAGCUUCUCAAAGUAAAAGUGGAAUGAAGUUCCUGGUGACCUGAAUUCCCAUGGAGGAAAGAGGAAAAGGACAUUAUGCAAGGAGAUGGCAUCUCGUGUCCCUGGUGAACCAAAUUCCAUUAGGAAGACGGUGCAGUGUGAGGUGGACCUGGACCUGGAUAAAAUGGGUGUUUAACAAGUAUUUGUUGAGUAGGUGGUGGAGGAGGCACGACUAGAUGCAGGGUCUAGCUGAGUUGACAAGAGCUAACACCAGGUGUGGACCAGGACAGGGGGACCUUAAGCGAAGACACCCUGCCAGAUGUGUCUUGUUCCCUUGACUGUGGGGAGGCCCUUGGUGGUGGGGUGACGGUCCCCCAGUCUGAGGAUUUUCCCUGGAUGUAGCCUCUCAGUGCUAAAAUGGGACAGUCCCAGGCAAACCAGGUCAGUUGGUCACUCUACUCAGUGAGCCCCGUGCUGUGUUCAAAUUUUCCUCUUAACAGAUGUGGAUGGAUUUCGGAAACUUAGAAACCACCAUUUCUCUGUGCCUGGGAGGAGAGUUAAAUCUUCUCACCAGAAUCCUUUUAUGUGUGAGAGAAAUAAAUAUCUAUCCUUUUUAUAUCUCUUUUGUUUUGGAUUCUUUGUCACCAGCAGCCAAACCCAAUUCUUACAUAAACGUGAUACUAAUUAAAUUCAUUUGCAUAAACUCACCAGUUUUAUCCUUAAUUACUGUGAUAUACACUCAUGAAGUAUGUACCCUAAAAUACCACUGUAAGUUUUAUUUGAUUACAGCAUUAAACUUAAUUUACAGAAAUGCUUGGCUUCUUUCAAUAGCUUGUUGAUUACAUAGUAUGAUCAUCUUCUGAUAACUUAAAAGAAAAAAAAUGGAAGGACCCGUAUUCCUUCCAGCUUGUGAAUGGAGGCCCAGGGCACCAGACCCUGCUAUUGAAUUUGAAUAAAUGGGAUCUCUUUUGAACAGAAUCUGAGAGAUGGCAUUAACAUAUACCUCAUGGCCAAAGUGCAUUACAUUUAGCCUUUACUGCAGACAGUUGUUUUUGGAGACACACUAUGACCUUUGGUAUAUCUGCAUCUGUGAAACAAUAAAGCAUUCUUUAAAUGAAGAUUUUGCUGUAUUACAAAUGACUGGAG
rnacentral:lncRNA from 10 species